rnacentral:rRNA from 1 species
AGAGUUUGAUCCUGGCUCAGGAUGAACGCUGACAGAAUGCUUAACACAUGCAAGUCUACUUGAUCCUUCGGGUGAUGGUGGCGGACGGGUGAGUAACGCGUAAAGAACUUGCCCUGCAGUCUGGGACAACAUUUGGAAACGAAUGCUAAUACCGGAUAUUAUGUGAGUUUCGCAUGAAAUUCAUAUGAAAGCUAUAUGCGCUGCAGGAGAGCUUUGCGUCCUAUUAGCUAGUUGGUGAGGUAACGGCUCACCAAGGCGAUGAUAGGUAGCCGGCCUGAGAGGGUGAACGGCCACAAGGGGACUGAGACACGGCCCUUACUCCUACGGGAGGCAGCAGUGGGGAAUAUUGGACAAUGGACCAAAAGUCUGAUCCAGCAAUUCUGUGUGCACGAUGAAGUUUUUCGGAAUGUAAAGUGCUUUCAGUUGGGACGAAGUAAGUGACGGUACCAACAGAAGAAGCGACGGCUAAAUACGUGCCAGCAGCCGCGGUAAUACGUAUGUCGCAAGCGUUAUCCGGAUUUAUUGGGCGUAAAGCGCGUCUAGGCGGUUUGGUAAGUCUGAUGUGAAAAUGCGGGGCUCAACUCCGUAUUGCGUUGGAAACUGUCAAACUAGAGUACUGGAGAGGUGGGCGGAACUACAAGUGUAGAGGUGAAAUUCGUAGAUAUUUGUAGGAAUGCCGAUGGGGAAGCCAGCCCACUGGACAGAUACUGACGCUAAAGCGCGAAAGCGUGGGUAGCAAACAGGAUUAGAUACCCUGGUAGUCCACGCCGUAAACGAUGAUUACUAGGUGUUGGGGGUCGAACCUCAGCGCCCAAGCUAACGCGAUAAGUAAUCCGCCUGGGGAGUACGUACGCAAGUAUGAAACUCAAAGGAAUUGACGGGGACCCGCACAAGCGGUGGAGCAUGUGGUUUA